CNUAACACAUGCAAGUCGAGCGCCCUGUUUCGGCAGGGAGCGGCGGACGGGUGAGUAACGCGUGGGAACGUGCCCUUUAGUUCAGAAUAGCCACUGGAAACGGUGAGUAAUACUGGAUACGCCCUUCGGGGGAAAGAUUUAUCGCUAAAGGAUCGGCCCGCGUUGGAUUAGCUAGUUGGUGGGGUAAAGGCCUACCAAGGCGACGAUCUAUAGCUGGUCUGAGAGGAUGAUCAGCCACACUGGGACUGAGACACGGCCCAGACUCCUACGGGAGGCAGCAGUGGGGAAUAUUGGACAAUGGGGGCAACCCUGAUCCAGCCAUGCCGCGUGAGUGAAGAAGGCCCUAGGGUUGUAAAGCUCUUUCAGAUGUGAGGAUGAUGACAGUAGCAUCAGAAGAAGCACCGGCUAACUUCGUGCCAGCAGCCGCGGUAAUACGAAGGGUGCUAGCGUUGUUCGGAAUUACUGGGCGUAAAGGGCGUGUAGGCGGAUGAUCAAGCUAGGGGUGAAAGCCCAGGGCCCAACCCUGGAAUUGCCUUUAGAACUGAUUGUCUAGAAUCCGUAAGGGGAGUGUGGAAUUCCUAGUGUAGAGGUGAAAUUCGUAGAUAUUAGGAAGAACACCAGUGGCGAAGGCGGCACUCUGGUACGGUAUUGACGCUGAGGCGCGAAAGCGUGGGGAGCAAACAGGAUUAGAUACCCUGGUAGUCCACGCCGUAAACGAUGUCUGCUAGCCGUUUGGACACUUAGUGUCUGGGUGGCGCCGCUNACGCAUUAAGCAGACCGCCUGGGGA
rnacentral:rRNA from 1 species